ACAAACUUGGUCAUUUAGAGGAAGUAAAAGUCGUAACAAGGUUUCCGUAGGUGAACCUGCGGAAGGAUCAUCUAAGAAUUUUGAUAAUCCAAAAAAAUCUCUGGUUCCUGGGUUUGUGUAGGGGGUGUUGUUCUCUUUUAGAAAGAGAAUGAAUUCCCUUCCGGCUCUUGAGCCAAAACAACCAAUAGUCUCAGUGAGAGAAAAAAAACAACAACAAAUAUUUGAAUGAAAUGAUAAUCGAAUUCAUUGAUUCUUUUAUUUUUACUUUUCAGUAUUUGGGGUUUUCUUUUCACAAUCAUCACUUUGACUUUUUGUUUUAGAGACUAAGCGGGUUCGCUUUGGGAAUUUUUCCUAGAGCAACCUCUUGUCUCGUCACUUUUGUGGGCUACACAAAAUAAUAAAAUACAACUUUUAACGAUGGAUCUCUUGGCUCCCGCAUCGAUGAAGAACGCAGC
rnacentral:misc_RNA from 1 species